CCUACGUGCGACAGCAGUGAGGAAUUUUGGUCAAUGCACGCAAGUCUGAAGCAGCGAUGCCGCGUGCAGGACGACGGCCCUAUGAGUUGAAAGCUGCUUUUGUACGAGGGAAAACGCAUAUACGCGUAUCUGUCUGAAAGUAUCGUACGUAUAAGGAACGGCUAACCUCGUGCCGGCCGCCGCGGCACUAUGGAGGGGUGAAGCGUUGUCCGGAUUUAUUUGGUUGAACGGGUGCGUAGGCGGUCGGAUAAGUUAGGGGUGAAAUCCCGGGGCUCAACUUCAGAAUUGCCUGUGAUACUAUUCGGCUAGAGAGUAGUUGCGGUAGGCAGAAUGUAUGGUGUAGCGGUGAAAUGCUUAGAGAUCAUACAGAACACCGAUUGCGAAGGCAGCUAACCAAGCUACUUCUGACGUUGAGGCACGAAAGCGUGGGGAGCAAACAGGAUUAGAUACCCGAGUAGUC
rnacentral:rRNA from 1 species